AACCCUCAUCCUCACUUCCUCCCCCGCAGCCUCUCCUGAUUCCCGAUUGCCCCACACAGCGCCGCCGCCAACCACCUCCUCGCUCCCCUCCUCCAACAGCUCGCCGAUGGCCCUAUCCUCCUCACCUCGGGCAGCUUCCAGAUGCGCAGCAUUCUCCACCCAUCCAUCCAUCUCACAAACAAUCUCUCUCUCGUGUGAACCCUCGCAACGCAGCCAACGCCUGCCAAUUCCGGCGACGUCCACCAUGGCGCAGCACACACAGAAGCUAGUCUCCGACCACUCUGUCCUCCAGGCCGGCAGGAUCCGCAGCUCCCUGUCUCUGGCGCUCGCCCCGCGACCCCUAGCCCGUGACUAGGGUUUCGACUAUGGCUUCGCUUCCAUCGUCGGCGUGUCUCUGGUGGCUCCGCUCCGUCGCACACUGCGCCCCCUCGCGCCCUCUCGGCCUCCUGGAUGGCCCCCCCUAGCUCAGUGCGCUUACUCGCGUUGGGCUGCACGGCGGCGACCCCAACCUCCUCUGUCGCAUCUCCGGCGCGGCUGUGUAGCCCGUGGCAACUUCCUCUGCCGCAUUUGAACCACUGGAAGCCCUCCCUUGCCCAGGAAGUGGAUGUACGAUGGUGAUGUCGAUUGUUGGCUGCCGGUGUCAACCAGCAAAUAUGUCGAGACAAGUACCAGUUCAUGGAAGUGUCCAAGUCGAGCUAGCUCAACAAGUCGUGAAUCUGAACAUCCUUUUGCAUUAGCAACUCUCUGAAUGAUGUUGUUGGCCUGAAAAUGAAGGCCAAUUAAGCUAAAACCUUAAAUAAUGCAUGCUCACUAGCAAGGGAAUAAUGCUAGUAGAAUAUCUUCAAGUUGCAGUAAAGGCAGCAAACUUUAUAAAGGAAAAGAUGCAAGCUCAAAAAGGUUGCAUCAUAGUUAUUGAAAUGGCCCAGCAAAUGCACCAGGAUUUUUUUGAUGAUUAUGCCUUUUUAAUCAAUGGCUUGUUGGAUCUCUAUCAAUUUGGUGGUUUCCUUGGUCAGAACCCCAAGGGAGUUUGAGCUACAGAGGUGAUGUUGAUGAUUAAGAGGGUCUGCAUGAUGUUGUAUAUUUCUUAUGUAAUGUCAUGUAAUUUUUAUCAAGGGCGUGUGAGCCAAUGUUGGAUGUAAAUGACCUUUACUUGUUGAAAUUAUUGAAUGAAAAUUUAUGAAAUCUGUCAA